GCCGUUGCGCGGUGUGCGGCUGCCAGAGGCUGCUCGGCGCCGGCCCCGCUGGCUGCCAGCGGCCGACUUUCCCCCGCACCUCCCCUUUUCCCUCGCGGAGAGACUGGGGGGCAGCGCAAAAAGCCCUUCCGAGCUCGGGAGUACCCGUGUCGACUGAGGGAGCCCCCGCCCUUAGCGGCACCCACGACUCUUAGCCUCUGGUACUGAGUCGGACUGAAGGCGGGAGUCCUAGCUGAAAGGAGCCGUCGAAACGCCUCCCGACCUAACCCCGUACACCAAACACGAGUAAAUGAGGCACGGACUGGUGUCUGCAGCACACCCCUCGGUAGAAGCAAAUCUGAGGAAGGAAUUCUGGGGUGAUUAUUGCUGCUUCUACUUUCUGAAGUGAGAUAGAUUGUAAAGCAGGUACAUCAAAGGCAGACGUCUCUAGAGUGCCAAAGAAGAAUGUAAAGCUGACUCUUUGGAAAACAGCCUGGGAUGAGAGCUGAGAGAUCAGGGCUGAAGCGGCUGUUCCAUGAAACACGUAAGGGAGUGUUUCUGUCCCUGAGUGUUCCUGCUUCUGAUCCAUGUCUAUCUCCAAGUUUGCUGCCUCUGCUGUAGGACUGAAGAAGCUAUGACCUAAGAAUUUUCUUUCCUCCUUGUCUCCUCAACACUAUCAGUUAAAAUAAUAAAAACUAUUACUCGCUCCCACAA